rnacentral:lncRNA from 1 species
UUCUACACAGUUUAUUGAUAAGCAAGCAUUAAUGUAGUGAUGUACAAUAUAUUUCAGAAAAUGAUAAUUCAAGAAUUGUAUUUCUGGUAAGGAAAUAUGACCAUAGUCCAUUUUGUUCAUGAUAAAAUUCUUGAAAGACCCUUUAUCUAUUUGUUAGAGUAGAUUUAAAUAUUAGAUUCUCUUGCUGCAAACAAAAAUUCUGAAAAAAGGCAUUAUUGCAUGCAAAUGUAUUUUUUAUUGCCAGUAGAAUCAAAAUGGAUAGCCCAUUUUCAAAAAGUGUGUGUGUCAUAACGACAUGAUUAUUUCUAUUGCAACGAAUACAACUUUAAUUUAAAAAAGAUGUGGUGUGGUUGCCCAUGAGACAUCUAUCCUCCAGAGACCUAAUAAUGUAGAUGUUGAGUUCAAUUUAUCAUGCAAGAAGUUUACUAUCAAACAUUUAAAAAAAUGUAUUUUUUGAGGAUGUCAAUUUUUAAGGCCUCUAGAUGUGCAAGCUCACUAAGAUUUAGAAUUGUAUAUUCAUGUCUGCAAUUAACAAGGAAUUAUUUUAUCUGGAAUUAAUUUGAACACUGGAAAAUUGAUAACAAAGGUAUGAGAAAUAAAACUAGCCCAACUAAAUAGGGUUUAUUAAUAAGUCAUGCACUCAUGGUUAUGGUUCAGAUUACUUUUCCAUUUUUAGAAUUCAAAAAUUG